GCGAUUCAGCAGCACAUAUACUAAAAGUUGGAAAGAUACAGGGAAGACUUAGCAUGGCCUGUGCACAAGGAUGACGACAAAUUCAUGAAGCAUUCGUAUUUUUU
rnacentral:snRNA from 1 species